UACAGAGGGUGCGAGCGUUGUCCGGAAUCACUGGGCGUAAAGGGCGCGUAGGUGGCGCCGCAAGUCCAUGGUGAAAGCUCGAUGCUCAACAUCGAGUCGGCCACGGAGACUGCGGGGCUCGAGCACUGUAGGGGCAGAUGGAAUUCCGGGUGUAGCGGUGGAAUGCGUAGAGAUCCGGAAGAACGACCGGUGGCGAAGGCGGUCUGCUGGGCAGUUGCU
rnacentral:rRNA from 1 species